UACGCCCCGCCAUCCCAGGACCCCUAUGCCGCCCCCCGCGGUCUGACCCCCUUCCCCCCCGCAGGGUGUGGUCACGGCCGCCGUCAGCCUCAUCACCUGCCUCUGCAAGAAGAACCCUGAUGACUUCAAGACGUGUGUCUCCCUGGCCGUGUCCAGGCUGAGCCGGGUGAGCGGGGCCGGACGCCUGGGUUCCACCCUGGCUCGGGGUGCAGGGGAGGGGCCAGACGCCUGAGUUCCCUUCCCGUCUCGGGGUGCGGGGGAGGGGCCGGACUCCUGGGUUCCCUCCCCAGUGUGGGCAGGGCAGCAUUCAGGGCGGGGAGGGCCCAUGGCUGGGGACUGACCCCUCGCUGUGGCCCCUGCCCAGAUCGUGUCGUCAGCCUCCACGGACCUGCAGGAUUACACCUACUACUUUGUGCCGGCCCCAUGGCUCUCUGUGAAACUCCUGCGCCUGCUGCAGUGCUACCCCCCGCCAGAGGACGCAGCGGUGAAGGGGCGGCUGGUCGAGUGCCUGGAAACCAUCCUCAACAAGGCCCAGGAGCCCCCCAAGUCCAAGAAGGUUCAACAUUCCAACGCGAAGAACGCCAUCCUCUUCGAGGCCAUCAGCCUCAUCAUCCACUACGACAGCGAACCCAACCUGUUGGUGCGGGCCUGUAACCAGCUGGGCCAGUUCCUGCAGCACCGGGAGACCAACCUGCGGUACCUGGCGCUGGAGAGCAUGUGCACCCUGGCCAGCUCCGAGUUCUCCCACGAGGCUGUCAAGACCCACAUCGAGACGGUCAUCAAUGCCCUCAAGGUCGGUGGAGAGGUGGGGCGGGGCCCUGGCGGUGGAGCGGGGGGAGAAGGUGGGCCCGGGUAGGGGCAG
rnacentral:lncRNA from 1 species